rnacentral:lncRNA from 1 species
AGAUGCUUCAAGUACAAACCAGAGCUGAGGAUUUUGAAUAGGCUCCAUUUAGUUUCUCUUCUGGAGGCCCAACCCACACAAUCCCAAUUUCUUUGCCUCUUAAGUUGAUGCCAUAACCAAGUACUGUGGAGACAUCAAAAGAAUGAAGACAAAGAAAACAUACAGAAUUGGAAGCCCUGCCUCCCCAAGGCACAGACAGAGUCUCCUCCAUCUUACUCAAGCUACACCAAACUCAGCAAGUGUGCAAAUACUUUCAUCCUGCCAGCUUCACUCUGGAACUCUGCUUUCUUGGCUACUAUGGAAGAUCUAACUCUAGAAGUCUCCAUCAACAAUUUGGAACGAUUUUUGCUUACCUGUGACACCCAGAAAAAACAACGUUCAUAAUUUUACACAGAAAUCAGUGACAUGCGUGGAAAGAAAAUAGAACAGAAGGUAGAAACCUGCGUUCUGGAAUUAGACUGCUGGCGUUUAAAGCUCAUCUCUGCCACUAACCACUUAUAUGAUGUUAGGCAAAUUAUUUUAUCUCUCUGUGCUAUUUUCUCAAAAGUAAAUUGUGAGUUGCAAUGUAGUUUGUUUAACUCAAAAAUUUUGAGAUUUGAAUAUAACAUUCAAACGCCAAGAUGUGUACCUGACACAGAAUAAAUGCUCAAUAAUGAUAAUCUCUUUUUAAAAAAUGCACAAAACGUAGAAAGCAAUACAUUGAAUUCCAUUCUUUAAAACGAGCACAUAUCUAAAUGCUGAGUAAUUUCUUACGGAGACCUUACAGAUACAGUUCUUUUUUCUAUUGUAUCCCCUGGAGUUAUUCAGAAAAGCAUUUUCUUUAAGCAAGUUUUAAUGGCUGUCACUAUGAUUUAAAGCUUUCUACAGAAUCUUUCACAUAGGGUAUGGCUGCCUAAAUUACUCUGGACCUAAUUUUAGAUAAACUUCCAUAACAAGUGUUGAAUAAAUGCAUGAGUAAGUAAAAUAAAGCAAAACAGA